rnacentral:lncRNA from 1 species
AUGUAUAUAUAGUGAGAAACAUACCUUUAUACAUGUGUAUUUUAUGUGAUUGUCUAUAUUUUGAAAUAGCCCAUGUAUUUUGACACAAACGAUGAUUUUGAAAGUCAUACUUUUGAUAAGAAGAGCUAAAAAUAGCUUAACUUAGAUAAUUGACUACUUUACAUUUAUUGGUGCAAAAUCUAGAUUAUAAGGAAAAUACCCUAUAUUCAAGAUUUGUUAUGAAUAUUAGAUAUGGAUGACUAUUAUAGAGAUAAACUCAUAGGAUAUUCUAGAUAUACUUAUAUUUAAAUUUACUUUAUCUCCAAGUAUUAUAUCCUAUAUAUAUCUGAUUCCCUGUGAAAUAAUACAGUAUUAAUUCUCCUUUCUUUUUUCUUUGUUCACAAUACGUUAUCAACACGAAAUCAUACCUCAUCUGAGCAACUUCCAAAUACAUGAAACCCUAGCUUUUGAAAAAAAUAUCGAAACCGUCUUUCCAUCGAGACCUAAAUAUUAUGUUUAAUCUUAAUUCAAUUGAUCUAUAAUCUUGUACUUUAAUUGAAACUAGAGCUUGAUCCGCGCACCCCUCU